rnacentral:rRNA from 1 species
UUUAAUGGAGAGUUUGAUCCUGGCUCAGGACGAACGCUGGCGGCGUGCCUAAUACAUGCAAGUCG